AGUGAACGCUGGCGGUAGGCCUAACACAUGCAAGUCGAACGGCAGCACAGGAGAGCUUGCUCUCUGGGUGGCGAGUGGCGGACGGGUGAGGAAUACAUCGGAAUCUACUCUGUCGUGGGGGAUAACGUAGGGAAACUUACGCUAAUACCGCAUACGACCUACGGGUGAAAGCAGGGGACCUUCGGGCCUUGCGCGAUUGAAUGAGCCGAUGUCGGAUUAGCUAGUUGGCGGGGUAAAGGCCCACCAAGGCGACGAUCCGUAGCUGGUCUGAGAGGAUGAUCAACCACACUGGAACUGAGACACGGUCCAGACUCCUACGGGAGGCAGCAGUGGGGAAUAUUGGACAAUGGGCGCAAGCAUGAUCCAGCCAUACCGCGUGGGUGAAGAAGGCCUUCGGGUUGUAAAGCCCUUUUGUUGGGAAAGAAAUCCAGCUGGCUAAUACCCGGUUGGGAUGACGGUACCCAAAGAAUAAGCACCGGCUAACUUCGUGCCAGCCGCCGCAGUAA
rnacentral:rRNA from 1 species